rnacentral:rRNA from 1 species
GACGAACGCUGGCGGCGUGCUUAACACAUGCAAGUCGAACGGAAAGGCCCUGCUUGCAGGGUACUCGAGUGGCGAACGGGUGAGUAACACGUGGGUGAUCUGCCCUGCACUUCGGGAUAAGCCUGGGAAACUGGGUCUAAUACCGGAUAGGAGCCAUUUUUAGUGUGAUGGUUGGAAAGUUUUUUCGGUGUAGGAUGAGCUCGCGGCCUAUCAGCUUGUUGGUGGGGUAAUGGCCUACCAAGGCGGCGACGGGUAGCCGGCCUGAGAGGGUGGACGGCCACAGUGGGACUGGGGUACGGCCCAGACGCCUACGGGAGGCAGCAGUGGGGAAUAUUGAACAAUGGGCGCAAGCCUGAUGCAGCGACGCCGCGUGGGGGAUGACGGCCUUCGGGUUGUAAACUCCUUUCGCUAGGGACGAAGCUUUUUGUGACGGUACCUAGAGAAGAAGCACCGGCUAACUACGUG